rnacentral:rRNA from 1 species
CAAGAGCGUAUGUAAAAGUUGUUGCAGUUAAAAAGCUCGUAGUUGAACCUUGGGUUUGGUUGGCCGGUCCGCUUUUUUGCGAGUACUGGAUUCAACCGAGCCUUUCCUUCUGGCUAACCAGUCGUUUCGGCGGCUGGCGAGCCAGGAUUUUUACUUUGAGAAAAUUAGAGUGUUCAAAGCAGGCAUUAGCUUGAAUAUAUUAGCAUGGAAUAAUAGAAUAGGACGUUAUGGUUCUAUUUUGUUGGUUUCUAGGACCAUCGUAAUGAUUAAUAGGGACGGUCGGGGGCAUCAGUAUUCAGUUGUCAGAGGUGAAAUUCUUGGAUUUACUGAAGACUAACUACUGCGAAAGCAUUUGCCAAGGACGUUUUCAUUAA